UUUGCUGUCCCGGAUAGCCUUAGCGCCGGACAGCCGGAAGCAGUUACGAACAGAACAGAAACCACAUUGUGCAAACUACAUUACAGGAGUUACUGUUUGUUGGUUCUGUUUUUUUUUUGCACUCUUCAUCCUGCACAUGGUUUUUGUUAGGAAAUGUAUAAGCAAAAGCGUGUGCGGAUGAACCUGCCACUAACUUACAUCAAUUUAAUUUCGACAGCCACUUUUCGCCUGGCAGAGCAUCUAAUCGGAACGUGCAGCUAACAAACAAACUAUUUCCUCUGUCGGGUGGGUUGUGUGUAGUUCAUGCAAGGUUUUGGAGUGCAAGUGCAUAUAGUUUGAUGGCCCGUUUUAGAGAGCAUUAAUUGCUCUGAAAAGUUGUCUGGAACAGCGUAGAAAUUUUAAUGAGAUUAAACAUGAAACUAGGAAAAUCCCCCUUAUUCACGACAGCCUUUUUUUUGGUGUAAAUUUUCCAGUUUAUUCUGACCCAUUGGGCCGAAUGUUACGAGACCUGAGACCAUUGCUAUUUUCAAUCUAAAACAAAUGACAUUUAAAAUCACCUGAUAUAUAGUUAUGUGGCAUUGGACACCAGCACGUGGCACGACACAAUGCUUUACCAUAUUGCAGCGCGACACAUUCCAUCUCUUCUAGUUCCCACGGGCGCGCAUCAUCGGACACCAGCCGGGCCGACAACGCAGACAGCACGGUCGCGCGACAUCGGACACCAGCCGGACGCAGACAGCUCCCUCAAACAUACACCGCCAACCGAGGUAGAAUUAAUGUGAGAGUUUAGUUUUAGUUUAGAACUCAUCGGAGUAACAUUUAAUCUUUUUGAAUAAAAAGCCGCAUAAUAAAUGUACACCGCAUAAUUAUAUACUUAGAUUAACAAUCUUUUUGCAAUGAAUCAUUACUAAAUGUUUUACAAGGAAUAUUCAUUCUUAUGUUUGAAUUAUAAUACUUUUCACUCCAAGUCUGCAAAUCUCUUCUGUAAUUUUCCUAUCGAACCCGGCUACUACUUCACCAGGACCGGUCGGAAGCACUCGAUCGCCUCCCGACUUUUUACCCCGGAGUACGUAGAUGACGUCCAGCAGCAUCUUUUUGUGCUGCUCUUUUCUCAGCAGCGUUGGUGGGCAGCUCACAUAAUGGUGGAAAAUUAUUCCAACGCUUCAGGCGAAGGUGCAAAAGCAACUUCGCACAGUAUCAACAACAGUGGCAGUAGUAGCGCACACGUAAUGCAAAACAAAGCUGCCAACAUUCAGAGAAAUGAAUGUUAUUUUUUUGUUCAACUCAUAUUUCCCCCAAAACCAAAAGCAAAAAGUAUGCAACAUUGACCAUGUCCCUGCUUCGCUGAAGCGCUUUGAUCUCUGCA